rnacentral:rRNA from 1 species
CCUACGGGAGGCUGCAGUGAGGAAUAUUGGUCAAUGGGCUUACGCCUGAACCAGCCAAGUCGCGUGAGGGAAGACUGCCCUAUGGGUUGUAAACCUCUUUUGUCAGGGAGCAACGCCGGCUACGUGUAGCCGGACUGAGAGUACCUGAAGAAAAAGCAUCGGCUAACUCCGUGCCAGCAGCCGCGGUAAUACGGAGGAUGCGAGCGUUAUCCGGAUGUAUUGGGUUUAAAGGGUGCGUAGGCGGAAUGCCAAGUCAGCGGUAAAAUCGCGGGGCUCAAACUCGGUCCGCCGUUGAAAAUGGCGUUCUUGAGUGGGCGAGAGGUAUGCGGAAUGCGUGGUGUAGCGGUGAAACGCAUAGAUAUCACGCAGAACUCCGAUUGCGAAGGCAGCAUACCGGCGCCCAACUGACGCUGAAGCACGAAAGCGUGGGUAUCGAACAGGAUUAGAUACCCUGGUAGUC